UACGGGGGGGGCAAGCGUUGUUCGGAAUUACUGGGCGUAAAGGGCUCGUAGGCGGCCAACUAAGUCAGACGUGAAAUCCCUCGGCUUAACCGGGGAACUGCGUCUGAUACUGGUUGGCUUGAGUUUGGGAGAGGGAUGCGGAAUUCCAGGUGUAGCGGUGAAAUGCGUAGAUAUCUGGAGGAACACCGGUGGCGAAGGCGGCAAUCCUGGACCAACACUGACGCUGAGGAGCGAAAGCCAGGGGAGCAAAGCGGG
rnacentral:rRNA from 1 species